UAACCCUUCGGGUAUAUUGGAUAAAAUUGGAAUAAUACUGAGAAGAUUAACAUGGCCUCUGGCAAAGAUGAUACGAACAAAUCAAAAAAUGAUCCAAAUUUAU